AUGAACGCUGGCGGCGUGCCUAAUACAUGCAAGUCGAGCGAACAGAUGAGGAGCUUGCUCCUCUGACGUUAGCGGCGGACGGGUGAGUAACACGUGGAUAACCUACCUAUAAGACUGGGAUAACUUCGGGAAACCGGAGCUAAUACCGGAUAAUAUAUUGAACCGCAUGGUUCAAUAGUGAAAGACGGUUUUGCUGUCACUUAUAGAUGGAUCCGCGCCGCAUUAGCUAGUUGGUAAGGUAACGGCUUACCAAGGCAACGAUGCGUAGCCGACCUGAGAGGGUGAUCGGCCACACUGGAACUGAGACACGGUCCAGACUCCUACGGGAGGCAGCAGUAGGGAAUCUUCCGCAAUGGGCGAAAGCCUGGCGGAGCAACGCCGCGUGAGUGAUGAAGGUCUUCGGAUCGUAAAACUCUGUUAUUAGGGAAGAACAAAUGUGUAAGUAACUAUGCACGUCUUGACGGUACCUAAUCAGAAAGCCACGGCUAACUACGUG
rnacentral:rRNA from 1 species